GCCAUGCUCGGUGUCGGGGAGCGUGACAGAGUAGGGGGAAAGAACAGGCUGGGGAGGCUCGCCUCCCCAGACCCCUCCUUUUUUGGA
rnacentral:tRNA from 1 species